AAUAUUGGACAAUGGGGGCAACCCUGAUCCAGCCAUGCCGCGUGUGUGCAGAAGGUCUUAGGAUUGUAAAGCACUUUAAGUUGGGAGGAAGGGCUUUAGGUUAAUACCCUGAAGUUUUGACGUUACCAACAUAAUAAGCACCGGCUAACUCUGUGCCAGAAGCCGCGGUAAUACAGAGGUUGCAAUGGUUAAUCGGAAUUACUGGGCGUAAAGCGAGCGUAGGUGGUUCAGUAAGAUGGGUGUGAAAUCCCCGGGCUUAACCUGGGAACUGCUUUCAUAACUGCUGAGCUAGAGUACGGUAGAGGGUAGUGGAAUUUCCUGUGUAGCGGUGAAAUGCGUAGAUAUAGGAAGGAACACCAGUGGCGAAGGCGACUACCUGGACUGAUACUGACACUGAGGUGCGAAAGCGUGGGGAGCAAAC
rnacentral:rRNA from 1 species